rnacentral:rRNA from 1 species
AUUGAACGCUGGCGGCAUGCCUUACACAUGCAAGUCGAACGGUAACAGGUCUUCGGAUGCUGACGAGUGGCGAACGGGUGAGUAAUACAUCGGAACGUGCCCGAUCGUGGGGGAUAACGAGGCGAAAGCUUUGCUAAUACCGCAUACGAUCUACGGAUGAAAGCAGGGGACCGCAAGGCCUUGCGCGGACGGAGCGGCCGAUGGCAGAUUAGGUAGUUGGUGGGAUAAAAGCUUACCAAGCCGACGAUCUGUAGCUGGUCUGAGAGGAUGAUCAGCCACACUGGGACUGAGACACGGCCCAGACUCCUACGGGAGGCAGCAGUGGGAAUUUUGGACAAUGGGCGCAAGCCUGAUCCAGCCAUGCCGCGUGCAGGAUGAAGGCC